AGAGUUUGAUCCUGGCUCAGAACGAACGCUGGCGGCAGGCUUAACACAUGCAAGUCGAACGAGACCUUCGGGUCUAGUGGCGCACGGGUGAGUAACGCGUGGGAACCUGUCCUGUGGUUCGGGAUACCUCCGGGAAACUGGAGUUAAUACCGGGUAUCUCCUGAGGGAGAAAGAUUUAUCGCCAUAGGGUGGGCCCGCGUCCGAUUAGCUAGUUGGUGGGGUAAAGGCCUACCAAGGCUACGAUCGGUAGCUGGUCUGAGAGGAUGAUCAGCCACACUGGGACUGAGACACGGCCCAGACUCCUACGGGAGGCAGCAGUGGGGAAUAUUGGACAAUGGGGGCAACCCUGAUCCAGCCAUGCCGCGUGAGUGAUGAAGGCCUUCGGGUUGUAAAGCUCUUUCGACGGGGACGAUGAUGACGGUACCCGUAGAAGAAGCCCCGGCUAACUUCGUGCCAGCAGCCGCGGUAAUACGAAGGGGGCGAGCGUUGUUCGGAUUUACUGGGCGUAAAGGGCGCGCAGGCGGCUUUGUUUGUCAGGCGUGAAAGCCCCGGGCUUAACCUGGGAACUGCGCUUGAUACGGCAGGGCUAGAGUUCGGGAGAGGAGAGUGGAAUUCCCAGUGUAGAGGUGAAAUUCGUAGAUAUUGGGAAGAACACCGGUGGCGAAGGCGGCUCUCUGGACCGAGACUGACGCUGAGGCGCGAAAGCGUGGGGAGCAAACAGGAUUAGAUACCCUAGUAGUCC
rnacentral:rRNA from 1 species